rnacentral:rRNA from 1 species
AACGAACGCUGGCGGCAGGCUUAACACAUGCAAGUCGAACGCCCCGCAAGGGGAGUGGCAGACGGGUGAGUAACGCGUGGGAAUCUACCCAUCCCUACGGAACAACUCCGGGAAACUGGAGCUAAUACCGUAUACGCCCUUAGGGGGAAAGAUUUAUCGGGGAUGGAUGAGCCCGCGUUGGAUUAGCUAGUUGGUGGGGUAAAGGCCUACCAAGGCGACGAUCCAUAGCUGGUCUGAGAGGAUGAUCAGCCACAUUGGGACUGAGACACGGCACCAACUCCUACGGGAGGCAGCAGUGGGGAAUAUUGGACAAUGGGCGCAAGCCUGAUCCAGCCAUGCCGCGUGAGUGAUGAAGGCCUUAGGGUUGUAAAGCUCUUUCGCCCGCGAAGAUAAUGACGGUAGCGGGAGAAGAAGCCCCGGCUAACUUCGUGCCAGCCGCCGCGGUAACAC